rnacentral:rRNA from 1 species
UGGUAGACGCACGAGCGCACCCUUAUCCUUUGUUGCCAGCGCGUAUGGUGGGAACUCAAAGGAGACUGCCGGGGAUAAACCGGAGGAAGGGGGGGAUGACGUCAAGYCAUCAUGGCCCUUACAASUAGGGCUACACACGUGCUACAAUGGCAGAUACAAAAAGAAGCGACCUCGCGAGAGCAAGCGGAACUCAUAAAGUCUGUCGUAGUCCGGAUUGGAGUCUGCAACUCGACUCCAUGAAGUCGGAAUCGCUAGUAAUCGUAAAUCAAAAUGCUACGGUGAAUACGUUCCCGGGCCUUGUACACCCCGCCCGA